rnacentral:rRNA from 1 species
AACGAACGCUGGCGGCAUGCCUAACACAUGCAAGUCGAACGCGAGGUGUCGGUUCGCCGGGGCCUUGAGUGGCGCACGGGUGAGUAGCGCGUGGGAACCUGCCCUGGAGUGGGGGAUAACCGAGGGAAACUUCGGCUAAUACCGCAUGCGCCCGGAGCAAUCCGGGGAAAGAUUUAUCGCUCUAGGAGGGGCCCGCGUCGGAUUAGCUAGUUGGUGGGGUAACGGCCUACCAAGGCUUUGAUCCGUAGCUGGUCUGAGAGGAUGAUCAGCCACACUGGGACUGGGACACGGCCCAGACUCCUACGGGAGGCAGCAGUGGGGAAUAUUGGACAAUGGACGAAAGCCUGAUCCAGCAAUGCCGCGUGAGUGAGGAAGGCCUUAGGGUUGUAAAGCUCUUUCGGCGGGGACGAUGAUGACGGUACCCGCAGAAGAAGCCCCGGCUAACUUCGUGCCAGCCGCCGCAGUAA